rnacentral:rRNA from 1 species
AACGAACGCUGGCGGCAUGCCUAACACAUGCCAGUCGAACGAGACCUUCGGGUCUAGUGGCGCACGGGUGCGUAACGCGUGGGAACCUGCCCUUAGGUUCGGAAUAACUCCCCGAAAGGGGUGCUAAUACCGGAUAAUGUCUUCGGACCAAAGAUUUAUCGCCUUUGGAUGGGCCCGCGUUGGAUUAGCUAGUUGGUAGGGUAAAAGCCUACCAAGGCGACGAUCCAUAGCUGGUCUGAGAGGAUGAUCAGCCACACUGGGACUGAGACACGGCCCAGACUCCUACGGGAGGCAGCAGUGGGGAAUAUUGGACAAUGGGCGGAAGCCUGAUCCAGCAAUGCCGCGUGAGUGAUGAAGGCCUUAGGGUUGUAAAGCUCUUUUACCCGGGAUGAUAAUGACAGUACCGGGAGAAUAAGCUCCGGCUAACUCCGUG